rnacentral:ncRNA from 1 species
AAAAAGGCCCUUUUAAGGGCCACCAAUUUUUCAAAAAAAGAAUCU